GGGUUGUGAGGUUAAGCGACUAAGCGUACACGGUGGAUGCCCUGGCAGUCAGAGGCGAUGAAGGGCGUGCUAAUCUGCGAUAAGCGCCGGUAAGGUGAUAUGAACCGUUAUAACCGGCGAUACCCGAAUGGGGAAACCCAGUGUGACUCGUCACACUAUCAUUAACUGAAUCCAUAGGUUAAUGAGGCGAACCGGGGGAACUGAAACAUCUAAGUACCCCGAGGAAAAGAAAUCAACCGAGAUUCCCCCAGUAGCGGCGAGCGAACGGGGAGGAGCCCAGAGCCUGAAUCAGCAUAUGUGUUAGUGGAAGCGUCUGGAAAGGCGCGCGAUACAGGGUGACAGCCCCGUACACAAAAGCGCAUGUGCUGUGAGCUCGAUGAGUAGGGCGGGACACGUGGUAUCCUGUCUGAAUAUGGGGGGACCAUCCUCCAAGGCUAAAUACUCCUGACUGACCGAUAGUGAACCAGUACCGUGAGGGAAAGGCGAAAAGAACCCCGGCGAGGGGAGUGAAAAAGAACCUGAAACCGUGUACGUACAAGCAGUGGGAGCACCCUUUGGGGUGUGACUGCGUACCUUUUGUAUAAUGGGUCAGCGACUUAUAUUCUGUAGCAAGGUUAACCGAAUAGGGGAGCCGGAGGGAAACCGAGUCUUAAU
rnacentral:rRNA from 1 species